CAAGCGGUGGAUGAUGUGGAUUAAUUCCAUGCAACGCGAAAAACCUUACCUACCCUUGACAUGGUCGGAAUUCUGCCAAAAGGUGGAAGUGCUCUAAAGAAAACCGAUACACAGGUGCUGCAUGGCUGUCGUCAGCUCGUGUCGUGAGAUGUUGGGUUAAGUCCCGCAACGAGCGCAACCCUUGUCAUUAGUUGCUACGAAAGGGCACUCUAAUGAGACUGCCGGUGACAAACCGGAGGAAGGUGGGGAUGACGUCGAGUCCUCAUGGCCCUUAUGGGUAGGGCUUCACACGUCAUACUGUGGUACAUACAGAGGGCUGCCAACCCGCGAGGGGGAGCUAAUCCCAAAAAGUGUAUCGUAGUCCGGAUUGUAAUCUGCAACUCCACUACAUGAAGUUGGAAUCGCUAGUAAUCGCGGAUCAGCAUGUCGCGGUGAAUACGUUCCCGGGUCUUGUACACACC
rnacentral:rRNA from 1 species